rnacentral:lncRNA from 1 species
UUACUUCCGUGAAACAAACAAUAGUAAAAUCGGGACGAAACCCUACAAACGAAUACGUACCGCGAGACCACGAUUACUUUUGUUUGAAUUUUAAAUUUCCGCAAUUGAAACGCGUCGAAACAUCUGCUAUUCCAUCGCGGAGUGGAAGAAGAUCUUGAGCUGGAGUUUUCGACGUUUCUAGCUGAAUGCGAACGGAUUUAUCGAGCUUAUUGAAUUAAUGGAAACGCGGCGCACGUAUAAGACCGUAAUUAAAGCGAAAAAGAAAAAGAAGGAUAGAAAAAGUUGGAAGAAUACUUUUCGUGUGCUUAUUACUAGAGUUGUGGUAAUGAAUUAUAAGACUUUAAAACGCCAAGAGUACACGGUUACAGUGAUGAAAUUGUAAAAUAGAAAAAAAAUACUGAGCUUUUUAUCUCGAUCUUGUACAUUCCGAUAGUAACUUUCGUUGUUUUAAAUUCAGCUCAAAAAACAUUACUUAUAGGAUGACUCUACAGUAUAUCUACAGUAUCUAAAAUAAUUCACUCGCUGUAAUAACUAAUAGAUGGAACAAAUCUAUAUUUAGCUUCCAUUCCUUUACUCGCGUUCAUAAAAGUAUGAAUUCUGAUAUACGAUUCUUUCUUACGGCUACAAAUCUUUACGACCUGCUAUUUCACCAUGAGGGGCCGUAUGUACGUGUGUGUAUAAAGAGCUGGGAAGAUGAUUAGCAGUACAUGUGCACUGGACAAGAGUAGUACUGUUCUCUAUCAAUCACGCGUUGCUAUAUGAUCUAGUUUGUGAAUGUAAGAUCCGUGAAAAAUAUGGACCACGACCAAGAGCCGUUCCCGGACCAUUUAGGGUACUCGUACACUGCAGGCCACAACUAUUAUUGGGUCACUUAUCUCCUGCAUUUACUGAAAAACUGCAAUAAAUUUUAUUUUAACGAGUAUUUUACAUUAUGCGAUACAUAUGGUGCGAAUAAAGUAACAGACUCGUGAUAAAAUAAUUAGUAAAUGAAAGCAACGAAAACCAUUCAUAUUUCCUUAAAUAUCAUAGGAUAUCCUAGUAGUUAUUAUCGGCUACGUACGCGACACUUUCGGCCAAUAUACGUACUCUUAUUUUUAUGAUUGCGUUGGGUCUAUCGGAAAGAAUUGACCAGGCCUGUCCUUUACCUAAUCACCUUUUCAACUUCUCUAUUAUACACACGAUAAAACGCUGGAGUCCGCUCGCAUAUGCGAAACGAGCCAGCGCCAGAGGCAUCUUGUUAUCCGCGAAUUUCCGGCCGAGUUGUUUACCGCUUUAACCAACGACUCUUUAAUUACUUCAACAACCUACUGCCACGAACUUGACCGACUCUAAGAGCUACUCCUGUCGAGCGUGUCAUGUUAAUGAAGUUUGUCACAUUCGUUUGCGGAAUCACCAAGACUUCCCUACCGAUCGAGAAACGGAUAAUCGAUACAGAAGAUACAGAAAGAGAACGUGGCUUGAAAGUUUCAAAGAUACCUAAUCCGACGAAUGGAGACUUGGAAGUGAUGUUUAGAAGAUUCAAUCCUGGCUGGCAAUGUCGCUUGAGUUUCCAGUAGAAUCUGUAAUUAAAAAUUUAAGUGCUAUUAGCGAUCGAGGGAUCGGUUAAUUUAAAAAAUGAUUCGAUGUGGGACAUUAAAUAGAAUAAUAAACGUAAUUGGUACGUUCUUGGGAGAAGAAGGAAAACAUAACGAUAGAAGGAAGACGAAGGAGGAAGAAUAGAGAGGGAAAGAGGGAGAAGAGAGUGUUGGUUCGAUCGAAGUUGUCGAAGGGAGGGCGCCACUUUGCCGGCCACCCCAUUUUCAUUAGCUCCUACGGAUCAUACACUUAUCAGAUUAUCUUUACAAUAGCCUUCAUAACAUUUGACAUAGCAUGCCUCCACAAAAUCCAAGAAAGGUGACAAAUUUUUUAAAGGAAAAAGAAAUUUUAUAAGAAAUUUUAAUAACAAGAAAGGUGUCAUAUUUUUGAAGAUAAUAAGUACCAAAUAAGGAAACAUAUACGAAUACAAGGACUAAAGAAACAUCCAGUAAUAAAGGAUGAUGUAGUAAUGUAGGAUGAUGCAAAAGAGUUACGGCAACAGAAAAGUAGUAAAAAAUUAUUUUAAAAAGAAUUGGAAUGAAAGGAUUGUAAAACCACUUAAAGAAACAAGAAUCCUGAGGUAAAAAAUCCCUACAAGAACACCAGAAAUCAGUUGUUGAAAUGGCAAAUACUAUGAUGAGAAGGAAAUAAAAUGUUUUUAAACAAAACACUACGGACUAAAAUACUGAAAAUAUACUAUAAAGAUAAUACCGACGAGAUGAACGCUAUGUCGAUAAAAAAAAGAAAAAAGAUCUAGCAAUAAAAAAGUCCUAUAAAAACACCAGAAGCCAGAAAUAGAAACAAUAAGCCCCAUGAACUUUCACGAACUACUGUAUAUUUGCAUUAGAUACUUAUUUUGUAGCUUCUAUGAUAUUUCCAUAUUUGUUUCAAAUUUUAUCGAUAUAAUCAUAACAUGACAUGAUGCUCAUACCAUACUUUAUUACAGUGCUAAUGAAAUUUUUAAAUGUUUCGUAUGACAAAUGCGGUGGGGGAAAAAGUAAGUGAACUAAUAAGAUAGUGGAAAUAGAUAUAUCACUGAAAUUUCACUAAAUAUGGCUUGUUUACACAAAAUUAUAAAUCUUAAUUUCUAUUACUUACUAAACAAUUUUGUGUACAUUAAGAACAUGCAAUAAACAGAAUUUAAGUAUAUAACACUAAUACUAAAUGGUUCGAUUAAACUUCAUUGAUAUCUACUACUUAUCCAUUUAUUUUUAUCCUCAACUGAAUAAUAUGUAUAUUCAUAAAGUACAUCUAUAGUACUGUCUUUCGUAUGCUCAUGUAUGUCAACAAAAAGACAAUGUAGAAAUUCAACGAACUAAAUCCCUAACGUGACCAGACAAUUUCCAUUCUUCAUAAAGCAGAUAUCUUGCGAAAGGACAAGAAGAAAAAUCUUUUGGUGACACCGAAAAGGAAAAAGCUGCUUGUCGGAUCUCGCGUUUGCCGACGGAAUAUUUACACGAGUAGCUGCGACACACAGGUGCACGCUUUGAUUCGCUGACACUAAUUGCGAACCGCGUCUGGCUAGCUCUUCUCGGUCUCAAAUUAAUUAAUGGCAUAGCAAAUGACGAGUCGCUCGGAGAUUCGCUCGCUGAGCUCUCGUUGCGCUGGGAAAAGCGAAAUAAUACGGCGUACGAUCGUGCCGCGAAUAUCAAUGCUUCCUUCGUUGUCAUCAAGAAGCGGAGACUCGUGCUCAUUAAUGAUGUGCCAUCCUAUAUUAUAGGAUCGUUCUGUAGCUCCUCUUCUUUUUCACUUUCUAUCUUCCUCCUGUUUAUUCGUUUUUCUUCUUCUCUUCUUGUCUCUCCUUCACAGUCGAGAUGCAGGACAAACCGUGUGUGCGUGUGUGUGUGCGUUCGUUGCAAUUUCACAGCUGGUGUGUAUUUAACCGUCGAAAUGAUCGCUUUAAUCCACGCUUCAAACCCGAGCCACUUUUUUGCAAACCGCGACAUACUAAUCCAUUUCGCUUCGUUACGACAAAAAUGGCAAACCGACCAUUGAUAUCCGAUAUUUUAGCAGCGUGACUAUAGACGAUCCAUUUUUGCAUCCGUUAUCCUUUCAGUACAGUCAUCAAUUUUUUGUACGAAUCAUGAGAGGUCUUUCAUUAUUGCUAUGAGUUGAAAUAUUGCUACGCAUAUG